AAAGUACAUGUGCAGACAACAAGAAACUUUAGACUGCAGAAAAUUGUACAAUCCGUUAUUAAACUCGUGUCACACAGUCACAGAAGUGGUAAAGGACAUGUGUGACAACUGAAUGGUAUCCUUUUGUAAAGGUUUUGACCAGGGGUGGGUAUUUAUUUUUUAAUUGAUAUCUGAGGUUGGGUAAUCAAAUUUUUGACUUUUUAAUGGUUGG